UCUCCUUCUCCAAAUUAAAUCCUACUCUCUCUCACUGUAUCGAAUCCUGCUUCCUCCGCGGAUUCUUCAUCUUCUGCCGCCUCGAUUUUUCCCAUCUCAAGAUCUGCGUCUUCUUAAAUCCAUGCCUUUGAUUUCCUUUAGAACACAAUCAACAAUAAAAGCAGAGGUUUCAUCCGUUUCUAUGGUCUUAAGACCUAAAAGGACUUGUUUCGCCAAAACAGUUUUGGUGUUGAAGUGUUUGGGUGUUUUUAUAAAAAAGGACAAAUUACCAUCUUUCAUAGAUCGCUGAAACAACAUUGAGAGUUUUUACGAAACCCUUAUCCGAUUCCGUAGUUUUGUUCAGAGGUUUUGAGUGGAUUUUGCUGUUUUAUUGGUAUUACACUUUUUUCAUAGUUCGAUCUGCAAAUCUUUUUACAGUUUGAUAUUUUUGACUACUAAUAGAACCCUGUGAAAGGUGAACACUUUCUAGGGAACACAAUAUUUGAAGUAAAAGUGGAUACACCAAAGGAAGAGAUGAGAUAGCCUGUAAAAAAAGUGAUGAGGAUUUUUAUUGCUCUAAUCCCUCCAUCAGUCUCUGAAUUAGAUUUCAAAGAUUUAAUGGAGGAUCUGAUGGCACACUCAUGAUCUGGGAGGUACAACAGUUGCUGUUGAUUGGAAGUUGUGACUGCAUCCAAAUUUAUCUUCUAACUAGAUACUUGUGUAUAUUUGUGAUUUAGGUCUUUUGUAAUACUUUGACCUUUGUAAUACUUUGAAUAUCAAUAAAUGUCAUUUUUUUGC